AAACUAGACGGAAGCUUUCUGUGAAACAUCUUGGAGAUGCGAGAAUUCAUCUCACAGAGUUGAAACAUUCUUUUGAUUGGGCAGUUUGUAAACAGUAUUUUGGUAGAAUCUGCAAAUGGAUAUUUGUGAUGCUUUGAAGCCUAUGGUGAAAACGAAAUAUUUUCACAUGAAAACUAGAGAGAAGCUUUCUGAGAAACCUCCUUGUGAUGUGUGCAUUCGUCUCACAGAUUUGAAACUUUCUUUGGAUUGAGCAAUUUGGAAACAGUAUUUUUGUAGAAUCUGUAAAGGCAUAUUUUUGAGUGGUAUGAGGCCUAUGAUGAAAUAGGAAAUAUCUUCACAUAAAAACUAGACAGAAACUUUCUGAGAAACUUCUUUGUGAUGUGUGCAUUCAUCUCGUAGAGUUCAACCAUUCUUUUGAUGGAACAGUUUGGAAACACUCUUUUUGUAGAAUCUGCAAAGGGAUAUUUAUGAGUGCUUUGAGGCCUAUGGUUAAAAAGGAAAUGUAUUCACAUAAAAAGUAUAAACAAGGUUUCUGAGAAACAGUUUUGUGAUGUGUGCAUUCACCACACAGAGAAAAACGUUUGUUUUGUUUGAUCAGUCUGGAAAUUCUGUUCUUGUAGAAUCUGCUAAGGGAUAAUUGUGAGCAGAUGGAGGCCUAUGGUGAAAAAGGAAAUGUCUUCAUAUAAAAAUUAGACAGAAGCUUCCUGCAAAAC
rnacentral:lncRNA from 1 species